UUCGCAAUGCCCGAAAGGGUGACGAAGCGACGCCGCGUGUGGGAAGAAGGCCUUCGGGUUGUAAGCCACUGUCGGGAGUUAAGAAAUGUAAGGAUGUUAAUAGCGUUCUUACUUGACUAAGGCUCCGGAGGAAGCCACGGCUAACUCUGUGCCAGCAGCCGCGGUAAUACAGAGGCGGCAAGCGUUGUUCGGAAUUAUUGGGCGUAAAGAGCACGUAGGCGGCUAUGUAAGUCAGUUGUGAAAGCCUUCUGCUUAACGGAAGAACAGCAGCUGAUACUGCAAGGCUAGAGUGCGGAAGGGGAGAGUGGAACUUCUGGUGGAGCGGUGAAAUGCGUAGAUAUCAGAAGGAACACCGGCGGCGAAGGCGACUCUCUGGUCCGUAACUGACGCUGAGUGUGCGAAAGCUAGGGGAGCAAACGGGAUUAGAUACCCCGGUAGUCCUAGCCGUAAACGAUGGGCACUAAGUAGAGGGGUUUU
rnacentral:rRNA from 1 species